rnacentral:rRNA from 1 species
AAUGGACGAAAGUCUGACGGAGCAACGCCGCGUGAGUGAUGAAGGCUUUCGGGUCGUAAAACUCUGUUGUUAGGGAAGAACAAGUGCUAGUUGAAUAAGCUGGCACCUUGACGGUACCUAACCAGAAAGCCACGGCUAACUACGUGCCAGCAGCCGCGGUAAUACGUAGGUGGCAAGCGUUAUCCGGAAUUAUUGGGCGUAAAGC